rnacentral:lncRNA from 1 species
UGUCGUUUUUCAUUUCUGGAUUGAAGUCAGAAUUUGAUAGUUCUAGUUCCAACAGCACUGUCUAAACUACGAAAAACCUUUCCCUGUCGUUGUUAAAUUUGAAUGGAAAUGAAAAAAAAACAAGAAUACAAUUUCAUAUAGAAAUCAAAACGUUCUAUUUAUUUAUAUAUAUAUAUUAAUUACUAUACUUAUAGUUAAUUAUACUUAUAGUUAAUAAAAAAUCAUUCUAUAUAGAAUCUAUUUCUAUAUUUUCUAUAUUCAUAUAUUUUCGAUAUUCGAAAAUAUUUAAAUUUAUUUAUUAUUUUUAAUUUAGAAUAAAUGUUUAGUAAAGAAAUGUACUAAAUACAUAACAUAUUGAACUUUAAUGGAUUUUUGCAAUCUCGACGAUUGACUAAAGAAUC